rnacentral:rRNA from 1 species
ACGCACGCUGGCGGCGUGCUUAACACAUGCAAGUCGAACGGAAAGGCCCUGCUUUUGUGGGGUGCUCGAGUGGCGAACGGGUGAGUAACACGUGAGUAACCUGCCCUUGACUUUGGGAUAACUUCAGGAAACUGGGGCUAAUACCGGAUAGGAGCUCCUGCUGCAUGGUGGGGGUUGGAAAGUUUCGGCGGUUGGGGAUGGACUCGCGGCUUAUCAGCUUGUUGGUGGGGUAGUGGCUUACCAAGGCUUUGACGGGUAGCCGGCCUGAGAGGGUGACCGGCCACAUUGGGACUGAGAUACGGCCCAGACUCCUACGGGAGGCAGCAGUGAGGAAUAUUGCACAAUGGGCGGAAGCCUGAUGCAGCAACGCCGCGUGCGGGAUGACGGCCUUCGGGUUGUAAACCGCUUUCGCCUGUGACGAAGCGUGAGUGACGGUAAUGGGUAAAGAAGCACCGGCUAACUACGUG